AUUGAACGCUGGCGGCAGGCUUAACACAUGCAAGUCGAGCGGGGUGAUGGUGCUUGCACUAUCACUUAGCGGCGGACGGGUGAGUAAUGCUUAGGAAUCUGCCUAUUAGUGGGGGACAACAUCUCGAAAGGGAUGCUAAUACCGCAUACGUCCUACGGGAGAAAGCAGGGGAUCACUUGUGACCUUGCGCUAAUAGAUGAGCCUAAGUCGGAUUAGCUAGUUGGUGGGGUAAAGGCCUACCAAGGCGACGAUCUGUAGCGGGUCUGAGAGGAUGAUCCGCCACACCGGGACUGAGACACGGCCCAGACUCCUACGGGAGGCAGCAGUGGGGAGUAUUGGACAAUGGGGGGAACCCUGAUCCAGCCAUGCCGCGUGUGUGAAGAAGGCCUUAUGGUUGUAAAGCACUUUAAGCGAGGAGGAGGCUCUUUUGGUUAAUACCCAAGAUGAGUGGACGUUACUCGCAGAAUAAGCACCGGCUAACUCUGUGCCAGCCGCCGCGGUAA
rnacentral:rRNA from 1 species